AAUCAAGAAGCAGAGUCCAGGAGAGCAUUAUGUGUGGGGGACUAAGAAGGUUCUCAAAGCGAGGAACAGCAAAACAGCUGAAUGAGUAGAGGCAUAAUACCAAAUACUAUUCUCAAACCUAUUCCAGUAGAUCUCAAUGUGCUUUACAAAGGAGGAGAACAUUAAAAUCGUCAUUAUCUCAGCUUUACCAAUGGGGCCGGAAUCUGACACACAGAGCAGCAACAUGACUUGCCACAGGUUAUCCAGGAGACCAGUGGUUGAACCAAGAAGAGUACGUAGUUCUCCUACUGACUUGCCCAAGGAGUUGGUGUGCAACCUGCUCUGCAGUAACUUUGGACCGUCGCUCUGCCUUCUUUGGAUUAUUGUUGACCUUCUUAAUGGCUAUCGAGGCUUUUUUGCUGCCAUGAGUCAUGUCCACACACUCAGUAGGAUUCUACCAUGACUUCUGUUUUUUCUCCUUUAUUGCAAAGACCAAUUCUGACUGGGAUGCUAUCCUGAGCAAAUGGAUCUUCUCUGAAUUUUGCUUGUGUUUUAUAGACCUGUUCUCUAACCAGGAUGAUAGUCCUGACACAUCAUUCAUUCUUCAGCUUUGUGGAAUGUACUUCUUUGAGACAGUGCUCACUGCAGUAACAAAUUUUGUCAUACAUUUGUGGCAUUGGUUCAAUUUUGAGACCAGGUCUACACUUGACCUGGAAGGUCAGCUGAAGGUACACAACUCCAGCUAUGCAGAAUACAUAGUUGGAGUUGGCUUACCUUAAGCUCAGCAUGGUGGUAUCCACACAGUGCGAGGCUGAAGGGAGCAAAUGCUCCCGUUGGCUUCCCUUACUGCUCAUGACUGCAAGGAGUAUAGAUGCUAGCUGGAGCUGUCCUCAGCAUUUGAUUUAUGGGUCUAUACUAGACCUGCUUAAUCAAAUGCCAGAAUGUUAAUCUCCAACACGGUGUGCCCUUAAUAUAUUUUAUGGAUGGUUAUAAGCGUAUCAGUAGAAAGCACUAUAGAUGGUAAUAGGAAACAUACUGUUGUACUGGACUCUAACAAUUGUCAAAUUAUCAAUUCAAAGUGUAUUAAUCAUUUGUGAACCUUUAAACUCUAUUUUUCAAUGGUACCCUUCAUAUAAAGUGUAACUGUCUUUCCACUGACUUUCCUUUGGGUGAAAAAGUGAUU